rnacentral:rRNA from 1 species
CGGAUUAGCUAGUUGGUGAGGUAAUGGCUCACCAAGGCGACGAUCCGUAACUGGUCUGAGAGGAUGAUCAGUCACACUGGAAGGCCCUGAGACACGGUCCAGACUCCUACGGGAGGCAGCAGUGGGGAAUAUUGGACAACGAAAGCCUGAUUGGGCCAGCCAUGCCGCGUGUGUGAAGAAGGUCUUCGGAUUGUAAAGCACUUUAAGUUGGAAGGGCAUUAACCUAAUACGUUAGUGUUUUGACGUUACCGACAGAAUAAGCACCGGCUAACUCUGUGCCAGCAGCCGCGGUAAUACAGAGGGUGCAAGCGUUAAUCGGAAUUACUGGGCGUAAAGCGCGCGUAGGUGGUUCGUUAAGUUGGAUGUGAAAUCGGGACCCGGGCUCAACCUGGGAACUGCAUUCAAAACUGUCGAGCUAGUGGUAGAGGGUGGUGGAAUUUCCUGUGUAGCGGUGAAAUGCGUAGAUAUAGGAAGGAACACCAGUGGCGAAGGCGACCACCUGGACUGAUACUGACACUGUGCGAA